rnacentral:lncRNA from 1 species
GUUGUUAUCUAGACGUGGGUCUUAAGUGCUAAAUGUUCAAGUGUCAUAGGAAUCCGGCACAAUAGUUUUAAAAAACAUUAGACAUGGGGACAUGUCUAUACCUGUACAUAAAUUUUGUAUAUGCAUAAUACAUAUACAUAAAAUAUAAAUCCUACGGAAUAUAUUUAAAAAUGCGGUAAAUAAGAUUUUUGAUAAAUUUUGUUGGCAAAACCAUUAUUUUGGCCUAAUAGUCUAGAAAGUGGAAGUGUUUUAUAGCUGUCGAGUAAAGAAUAAAUACUCUGUAGUCUUGAUAGCCCCGAGUGACAUUGAUGUGUCAUUCAAUUAGUGGGUCAAACUGUCACGCCCCGAAUCGGUCACCUGGGUCAGCCAUGUGACACAGCCACAUACACCCUAAAAGGCCCCAGAGAAUAUGCAAGGCUUCAAAAUUUAUUACAACCUCAAUAUCACUGAACAAUAAUGAUCUCAAUUCAUAACAAAUAACAAUACUUAUACAAUUACAAAUUUAUUCAUACAACCGAUAACAAUGAUGCUCUAUCCCUUUUAUCUGUGAUCUCAACCAUAGCCAAGUAUUCUCUAAAAAGAAAAGAAAAAGAAGAUUGUGAGCUUUACAGCUCAGUAAGAAUUUUUACACGUUCGCACUAAUAUAGUAAUAUAGUUUGAAAAUAGCAAUAAGCAACACCAAAAUGA